rnacentral:lncRNA from 14 species
CAGCCAGGGCCGUGCCAGCUGAAAGGCUUCACACAGGGCACCCACUGCCCACAGCAAAGCCCUUCAGACUUAACUGGUCUGUCAGGGAGGAGUGGGGGCUGAGUGUGGUCCUAGGCUGGAAACAACAGAAUCUUGAUGUAGCGGGUG